UACGUAGGGGUCGAGCGUUGUCCGGAGUUACUGGGCGUAAAGCGUGCGUAGGCGGUGGUCCAAGUCUGGUGUGAAAUCUCCCGGCUCAACUGGGAGGGUGCGCCGGAAACUGGGCCGCUGGAGUACGGGAGAGGCAAGCGGAAUUCCAGGUGUAGCGGUGAAAUGCGUAGAUAUCUGGAGGAACACCCGUGGUGCAGACGGCUUGCUGGACCGUGACUGACGCUGAGGCACGAAAGCGUGGGUAGCAAACAGG
rnacentral:rRNA from 1 species